rnacentral:rRNA from 1 species
AUUGAACGCUAGCGGGAUGCCUUACACAUGCAAGUCGAACGGCUUGGCGAACGGGUGAGUAAUGUAUCGGUACGUGCCCAGUAGCGGUGGAUAACUACGCGAAAGCGUAGCUAAUACCGCACACUAUUGGAGCGGCCGAUAUCGGAUUAGCUAGGUGGUGGGGUAACGGCUCACCAAGGCGACGAUCCGUAGCUGGUGUGAGAGGACGACCAGCCACACUGGAACUGAGACACGGCCCAGACUCCUACGGGAGGCAGCAGUGGGGAAUUUUGGACAAUGGGGGAAACCCUGAUCCAGCCAUCCCGCGUGUGCGAUGAAGGCCUUCGGGUUGUAAAGUACUUUUAGCAGGAAAGCGGUACCUGCAGAAUAAGCACCGGCUAACUCCGUGCCAGCAGCCGCGGUAAUAC